rnacentral:tRNA from 1 species
UGGCUCAGAGGUUAAAGCGUCCGCCUGCAAUGCGGGAGACCUGGGUUCGAUCCCUG